rnacentral:rRNA from 1 species
UGGGGAAUUUUGGACAAUGGGCGAAAGCCUGAUCCAGCAAUGCCGCGUGUGUGAAGAAGGCCUUCGGGUUGUAAAGCACUUUUGUCCGGAAAGAAAUCCUUGGCUCUAAUACAGUCGGGGGAUGACGGUACCGGAAGAAUAAGCACCGGCUAACUACGUGCCAGCAGCCGCGGUAAUACGUAGGGUGCAAGCGUUAAUCGGAAUUACUGGGCGUAAAGCGUGCGCAGGCGGUUUGCUAAGACCGAUGUGAAAUCCCCGGGCUCAACCUGGGAACUGCAUUGGUGACUGGCAGGCUAGAGUAUGGCAGAGGGGGGUAGAAUUCCACGUGUAGCAGUGAAAUGCGUAGAGAUGUGGAGGAAUACCGAUGGCGAAGGCAGCCCCCUGGGCCAAUACUGACGCUCAUGCACGAAAAGCGUGGGGAGCAAACAGGAUUAGAUACCCUGGUAGUCCACGCCCUAAANGAUGUCAACUAGUUGUUGGGGAUUCAUUUCCUUAGUAACGUAGCUAACGCGUGAAGUUGACCGCCUGGGGAGUACGGUCGCAAGAUUAAAACUCAAAUGAAUUGACGGGGUCAUA